CUGGACGCUGGUUUUCUCACUGAUCCUAAGACCGCCCAUUUUGCUAGGACAGAGAAACACUAGACGUCUGGUAGGAACCAUUCCGGAACCAGACCUAGGCUGGAACACAUAGCGUGAGCAACCCCUCCUGGACACGCAAGACUCUGCCUGUCACUUCCACCCCAGUUCCUGAACUGCGAAAAGGUGACCCCUGCCAGGUGGGUGCUGAUUCCAUGCCAGGUGGGCCCUGACCCUGAGCCCAGGUGGGUGCUGACUCCAGGCCAGAGGGGCACUGACUCCAGACUAGGUGGCCCACUAACUCAGCAAAGCUCCUGCCUGACUUCUUCCUACUACGGCAGCUCUCUUAUCUGGAAAUGGUGGGCUUGGAAGACAGCUGUCCUGUGGACACAGAAGAGACUGUGACACAGCACUCAGGACGCAGACCCAGGUCAAUUCCCAUUUGCCCACCUGUCCAUCCCCUUUCCCUGAGCCUCUGAGCAGAAAUGGAGGCCAAGAGCAGUCUCCACAUUUGCUCCCAUUCCAGCUGAGAGGGUCCCCAGGUCAGGGCUCUUAGUUGUGUCCAGGCAGGAUGGAAGCCAAAGGACCCCAGAGAGAGAGAACCCAAGAAGGCCAUGCUCUCCUGCCAAGUCAGGGUUUGGAAAUGCACAGACUAAUCCUAACAGGUCUCUCCAGGGUGUCCCCUCACCAGGGGAAUCCCAUUUGCACACGUUUUGUACUAAAACACAGAUGUCCUCUGUCGUGGAAUGCAAAAUUUCUAUGAAAUUCUAUUUAAAAAAUAGAAAUGUUGAAGAAAUUUUGAACUUAAGAUAGGCUAUUUGAAGUUGUACCCAGAGAUCCUGGUGGGUUCACCCAUUUCAUGCCCUCUGAUUUUAAAACUAUGUCCACAGAGAUGUCUGAGAAACUUCAUAGAAAGUCACCACCAGCCACUAACUCUGUAGUAAGAGUGAACUUUACAGGGGCCCAUAGAGGGUGGGGUGUGGGGUUGUAUCUUGGGGAGGCCACCAUGUGGGGCAUAUCUGAAAGGACAAACAAGCAGGGCAAGGCAGGAGCCCAUCCCAGGUGCCCCAGACAUGCCAUCUCCAGUCCCCUUUCCCUGAAGCCCUCCCAGGCUCUGCGUCCCCACAACUCGUGGCCCCAGACCCACUAUGAGAACAGGCUGGACAUUCAGGGACCACUUUCCAAGAUAAGACUGUGGCUAUGGCGGGGGGGGGGGGGGGGGGGGGUGUGGAUCCUGCAAGGAUAUGUGCAUAGCUGUGCACAGCGAGGACCCCAGACAGAAUUAGCCUGCAUUUCCAGGGACAUGAUUCCCUGCCAUUAGCUUCAGCUCUGUAAAAUAGCCCAAAUGAAAGGCGGCAAAAACCCAGAAGGUGGGGAGACAACACAGAUAUCAUUUUUUACCACUUUCAGAAGCCCCCAGGGUGGCUCCGGUCCAGACUGGAGAGCCCAGCCAGUGCUCUGGGGCAGGGCCUUGCGCCCCCUCCCCCUCCUCUCCCCUCUUCUCUCCCCUCCCCUUCCUGGAUCUCCCUCUCUCCUCCCCUCUCCACUUCCUCCUCUUCUCUUCCCACCUUUCCCCCCUCCCUUCUCCCUACCCAUCCCUUUCCUCUCCCCUCCCCCUCCUUUACUCCCACCCCUUCUCCUCCCCUCCCCCACCAGCCCAAGCCUCCAGGACCAUCCCCUUCUGCCAAGAACCUGUCCACCUCUCUGUGCUUUGUGUCCUGUGGAAAAGGUCUGACCUGUGAUCAGGCCUUGCUUUGCACUGUCUGUGUGGCUUAGAGGUCCACGGUUCUGUGCCUCAGUCUGCACGUAGAAGCUCGGGUGGCACAACAGCACUACCACAUAAGUGGCUGGUGUCCUCCCAGCUGCCACCCCGUCCAACCCCAUGGCACUGGCUCCUCCUCCCAGGCCAGCUCAAUGACAUGGACCUCCCUCCCUCCUGCCCCAAAGCAUUUCUAGCUCUUGAUUUUCUGUAAAAUCAAUCCCAAGUGCCUCCUGUGGCAUCCAGCCUGCAGAGUUCCUGCGCCCUCCCACCAUCCACCUCAGCCAGUACCCAUAGCUCAUGUUCUGGGACAAGCUGCCCACAUACACCCUUCCCCAGGGGUCCAUGACCCUACAUGUGCAUUGCUUAAUUCUCUCCCCUGCUACGUGUGCACACUAAAGGGUGGGUGUGUAACUCAAGCGGACCCAUCAGGGGCAGACAUUCCUUGGGAAGGGUGGUGUUUGGUGUGAAGCCUGGAAUUGCAGCAGCUAUUUUGUGUGCAUGUGGGAAAGCACACUUUGGAACAAGGCUGACCAGGCACAAGGCAGAGAUUGAAGAAAUUGGGGCCUUGAAAGCAUUACUGAGUCACAGUAGGAAACCAAAUCCAAACCCACCCCACCCCACCCUCUCACCCCCUGCUUCAGGACAGUCUCAUGCAUAGCCCCAUACUGGCAGAGACAGCUUGGUUUGGCUUUUCUGGUACUUGCAGCCAUUCUGGCAGAUGCACUCCCUCUGAUUGGUCUCCAUCUUUGCACCUACUUCCUGGAUGCCCCAGGCAUUGGGAAGCCAUCUGUCUGACAUGUCUAGUCCAUCCACGUUGAUGACCACCACGUGGCUGGCACUGAUGGUCAAGUCCCCAUACACCUGCAGAAUUGGCCCUGCCCAGAAGUGAGACCUGCAGCCAGAGUGGGUGAAGCGGAGACCCACUAUGUGCCACAGGAAACUGGAGUCUCCAGUCAACAGUUGCCAUGGACCUGGCACCCCAUGUGGUUGCCUGGGCUGUGGUCACAGCUCCUUUUGAAAGGACACAGACAGCAGGGACCAGGGCCUCAUAGGCUUUGGAGACUUUGUAGUUUUCUCCAUAUUUAUUUUCUUCUCUCCAGCCUUUUCUAAGAGACAGGCUAAAAUCCCCGCCCCUUGGCAGGAGGUGAGAAAGUCACCAAGCUGGGAUUUAUGAGCAAACCAUAGGCCUGAGGGCUCCUAGCUCCGCAUCAUUCUCUCAGAGGAGCCGCAGGUUUUCCGUACACAGCAGCUGGCAUCUGAUUUCAGAGGCAGCGCUGGGCAGACCAGCCGGUAUCCAGUGUUUUUUUUUUUCCAAUCCCCUGAAAUGUGUUUUGUGAUUCUGGAAGCUUCAGUGGGUCUGCAAUUACAAGUAGCCCUUAUUAAAAAUUGGUGCGGCCUCCCACAUCAAACAAAAUUAAUCAGUAACAAGCUGUAAUGGUAUUAGGUCACUUCCCAGCGUGGUAAGUCAGGGCAGCCCUAUCUGAUUGGCUGAUGUGAAGCCUCAGGAAUUCUCCUGCAUUUAUCUGUGUGCCCAGAGCUUUGCACAAGAUGUUUGUCUUUGCUUGAAUUCCAUGUGGGUAUUGUCUUACUGAAUACAUUCCGACUGACCUGGCGGGUGUGUCUUGCGGGACACACACCAGGAGUCGGCCGUCUGGUUCUGGCCAAGAACGUCAGGAAGCCCAUGGCCCUGGGACCUACAGCGCACCCUCCUCUACUAGCAGUGGUGUGGAUGGUCCUCCUGCGGCCAACAUCACCUCUGGGCAUGUUCCUCAGGUGGCUGGCAGAGGAACAUGUGAGCAGCACAAGAAAUUUAUCAGGACUGAUCCCCACAAGCACUCCUUUGUCUUCAGCAUGGCCUGGCCCACGGGGCCCUGCAUCCCCAUCCUAUUGGCCCCACACCUGCCUCGGCUCUGCCCUCUCGCUGGCCCCCACAGCCGCCCAGACCUGAGCUGCAUAGCAGUGCCACUCGACAGAUCCUCUUCCUAUAGACAGUUUGGGAAAGGUGGGCCCUUGUUCCCUGCCCUGGAUUUGUGGGUGGGCUUGUAACAACAGCAGAAGCAAUGUACGUAAUGUGGGGUUCAGGGCGUUAGUGCUGGCCUUGUCUUACAUAGGCACUAGAGGACACAGGUUCCUGGGACGCCAUGCUAUAAGGAAGCCCAAGCUGGCCCAUACAGAGAAGCUGAGGGGAGAAGCCUGUGAGAGCUCUGAGGACGCUAGAGCCAGAAGCAUCCAAGCCUUGCCUGGUUUGCCGAGCUUCAUUCCUGGCCUUAGAUAAAGGGUGCAGCAGCUUUUGGUGGUCCCCUGUGGUGCAGGCUCUUCCUGCUCAGACCCAUAGCUCAUUCUGUCCCCUUCCUUGUUCUUCAUUAAAUGUCCAGUGCUUAGAGCCAUGCUGGGCACGAGGGGAAGGCUCCAGAGUACGCCCAUGGGUCAAAUACCUGAGUGAACAUGUGAUGAAUGGCACCGUUUCCUCUACCCCAGUGGCAAAUGGAGGGACAGUAAUCCCAACAGUGGACAUGGACUGUCUGGCCACAGCCCAGAAUCCAGAGGACAGAAGCCGAUGCUGACUCCAGGGCCCCCAUUGACUGGAGAGGCCUCUGCCCCAUCUGCACCUGGAUAUCCAGCACAGGAGCAAGAGAGAAGUCAGAAUUUCCACCAUGUCUCAGGAGCCUAGGCCUGGACCCUUCCCUGCAAGAUGAUCUGGCCAGGAAGAAAGACGCAGGGGAGCCCCAGGGUCCUGCCCCACCCAGCCUGCCCUAGCAGGUGGAGUGGACUGCUUGUCACCUAUGGUCAGUACAUGGUGGGCAGCAGCCUCAGCUGGUUCUCAUUCACCCUAGGAAAGAAAGGGCUGGGUCACCCUUACCCACAGUAUUGGGUAGGGUGGGCAGGGAGCACAUGCUGUGCGGGCUGGACCAGGCCAGGCUCUAAACUUGGCCAGGGACAAAGUUAUUGUUUGAUUGUUGUCUGGCUAUGUGGACAAGAGUGGCUCUGAUAUAGAUUCUGGGGUUUUUUUUUUUUAUGUCUUAUGUCACAUAAAUACCCACACAUGCACAUGUACAGACAUCCAUCUACAUGACACAGGUAUGACACAUGUACAUGUCCUUCGUGUGUAUGUAUACACAAGGAAACAAAACAGUCCCACUAACUUUUCAACACUGGUCUAUUUUCCUGGUUUUUUGUGUGUAACAGGAGGUUAUCGAUGUCAUCAAGAUUCUGAACAAUUUUGCAGAGCCACCUGGAGUUCUGUUGCAGGGAUGUGCACACCUUAUUCACCCAAUCUCCUAUUCCUGAACAACAGACUUCACUCCUUGCUGUGUUCAAUCCUGCUUAUUUUCCAUAAGGGUUCCUUAUAGCAGAGUUCACCUGGGGCUUCCGGGACAAG
rnacentral:lncRNA from 1 species